rnacentral:lncRNA from 10 species
GCUCACUCAGGAGACAGUGGAGCAUCUAAGGUGUCUCAAUCUUGCCUCCUCAGAAGUUCAAAGGUCUUUACUUAUACAAUCUCAUAAUAAAAAUAUACUCAGGACCUAAAAGACAUCCUGAUGACUUUUAAAGAAAUAUGGAACUAGACCUAAAACAGGGGAUGCUAGCUGGGCUGGGUGGCACGUGCCUGUAGUCCCACCUACUAGGCUGGCUAAGGUGGGAGGAUCGUUGAGCCAGGAGUUUGAGAACAGCUGGGCAACAUAGCCAGACCCUGUGUCUUAAAGAAAAAAAAAGAGAGAGAAUCUACAAAACUAACUGCUUCAUGCUAAGGAAGUAAUAAUAAUAACUGAUACCUUUAUAGCAUUUGGGAGUGGAAAGGCCCUUUCAUGGUUUGCUUUUAGUUUUUUUCUGUGUGUGUGUGUGUUUUUUUUUUUUUGGAUGGAGUUUUGCUCUUGUUGCCCAGGCUGGAGUGUAAUAGCACGAUCUCAGCUCACUGCAAGCUCCACCUCCCUGGUUCAAGUGAUUCUCCUGCCUCAGCCUCCUGAGUAGCUGGGAUUACAGGCACCCACCACCAUGCCCAGCUAAUUUCUGUAUUUUUAGUAGAAACGGGGUUUCACCAUGUUGGCCAUGCUGGUCUUGAUCACCUCAGGUGAUCCGCCCCUCUCAAAGUGCUGGGAUCACAGGCGUGAGCCUCCACGCCCGGCAUGGUUUCUAGUUUUUGGAGGCACCAUAGAGUAAAGCAGGUAGAAGAGGAGUACACUUUUUUUCUUUCUUUCUUUUCUUUUUUUUUUAAUGAACAAGAAUAGGAGUCCCACAGUUGGUGAAUGGUGGGAGUUAGGACUGGUCCCCAUCAGAGCUGGCGUUCUGGAGACCACACAGGUGCUGACAGCCCCGGGCACUGAUGUGCGUCAGCUCGGGCCGAGUGCUGGCUGCCCUGGCUGGGAUUGGCAGCAGCACUUCUGAGCCUGGCGCUUUAUUGUGUACUAUCUUAUCUCAAUAGGAAAAGGCAAUUCAGGGGAAGAAUUUCCCUGUCACAGUGCUCCAGACUUUCCAUUGUCCAGCUUUCUUAGUCCUGGGUCAUCCCCUGGGUCUGACCAUUACUCAUAUCCAUGGAGGCACCUUAUCAGGGCUGUCUAAGAUAUGGGGCCUAUUUUUUUCUCAGUACCAGACAAACUGGAAUUUAUCCACCCUUUGUGGCCUGACAUCACACGACAAUUAGUCGGCCCAGAAUCCAGCCACAUUUGGGAAGCUGCUUGAAAAGCAGUCUCUAAUAACCAGCUCUUUCCUUGCAAAGCCCUAGAAUUUCAGGGUCCUCUGCUGGCAACAGUGGUGGAGAUGCGUGGAGACCCCAUCUCAUGAUGGGCCAACUGUGAGACUCUUUCUUUUUUUUUUUUUUUUU